rnacentral:rRNA from 1 species
GACUGAGACACGGCCAACUCCUACGGGAGGCAGCAGCUAAGAUCUUCCGCAAUAGUCGAUAGACUGACGGAGCGACGCCGCGUGAGUGAUGAAGCUUUAGGUGUAAACUCUUUUAUAUUGGAAGAAUAUAUAGUAUAGACUAUAUGACUGUACUUUAUGAUACGUCCGGCUAACUACGUGCCAGCAGCCGCGGUAAUACGUAGGGACCGAGCGUUGUUCGGAAUUAUUGGGCCGUAAAGGGUAUUGUAGGGGCGGUCUAUUAAGUUAGAUGUGAAAAAUCUGGGCUCAACCGAGAUCUUGCGUCUAAUACUGAUAGGCUAGAGUCUCUGAGAGGAAGGCGGAAUUCCUGGUGUAGGGGUGAAAUCUAUAGAUAUCAGGAAGAACACCGGUUGCGAAGGCGGCCUUCUGGCAGAGGACUGACGCUGAGGUACGAAAGUUAGGGUAGCAAACAGGAUUAGAGACCCUGGUAGUCCUAACCGUAAACGUUGUAUACUAGGUGGUUGAAGUAUUGAUCCUUUGACUGCCGCAGCAAACGCAUUAAGUAUACCGCCUGGGGAGUAUGCCGGCAACGGUGAAACUCAAAGGAAUUGACGGGGCCCCGCACAAGCAGUGGAGCAUGUUGCUUAAUUCGAUGAUACGCGAGUAACCUUACCAGGUCUUGACAUAUACCUGUCUGGUGUAGAAAUACAUCAUUGCUUCGGCACGGGUAUACAGGUGCUGCAUGGUUGUCGUCAGCUCGUGCCGUGAGGUGUUGGGUUAAGUCCCGCAACGAGCGCAACCCUUAUUCUUUGUUGCUAACAGGUUAAGCUGAGCACUCUAAGGAGACUGCCGGUGACAAACCGGAGGAAGGUGGGGACGACGUCAAAUCAUCACGGCCCUUAUGACCUGGGCUGCAAACGUGCUACAAUGGGUGGUACAAAGAGUUGCGAGACCGCGAGGUGGAGCUAAUCUCAAAAAACUAUCCUCAGUUCGGAUUGGAGUCUGAAACCCGACUCUAUGAAGUUGGAAUUGCUAGUAAUCGCACAUCAUCAUGGUGCGGGAAUACGUUCCCGGGGCUUGACACACCGCCCGUCACAUCACCCGAGUUGAAUAUACCCGAA